AUUGAACGCUGGCGGCAUGCUUUACACAUGCAAGUCGAACGGCAGCACGAGUGCUUGCACUUGGUGGCGAGUGGCGAACGGGUGAGUAAUACAUCGGAAUGUGUCCUAAAGUGGGGGAUAACGCAUCGAAAGAUGUGCUAAUACCGCAUAAUCUCUAAGGAGAAAAGUAGGGGAUCGAAAGACCUUAUGCUUUUGGAGCGGCCGAUGUCUGAUUAGCUAGUUGGUGGGGUAAUGGCCUACCAAGGCGACGAUCAGUAGCUGGUCUGAGAGGAUGAUCAGCCACACUGGAACUGAGACACGGUCCAGACUCCUACGGGAGGCAGCAGUAAGGAAUAUUGCUCAAUGGCCGAAAGGCUGAAGCAGCAACGCCGCGUGGAGGAUGAAAUACUUUUGUAUGUAAACUCCUGUGAGAAGGGAAAAUAUGCAGAUUUUCUGCGUUGAUUGUACCUUCAGAGGAAGCCCCGGCUAACUACG
rnacentral:rRNA from 1 species